GUCCUCGCAGCGAAGUGGUUACGCGCCCGGUCAACCCCAGCGUUGCAUUUCCCCAGCGUAGACCGGGAGACGCCAGUUCGAACCUGGCCGAGGGCA